AUGAUGCAUAGCCGACGUUGUAGAGACUGAUCGGCCACAUUGGGUACGUGAGACACGGCCCAAACUACCUACGGAGGGCAGCAGUAGGGAAUCUUCCACAAUGGACGCAAGUCUGAUGGAGCAACGCCGCGUGAGUGAAGAAGGGUUUCGGCUCGUAAAGCUCUGUUGUUGGUGAAGAAGGACAGGGGUAGUAACUGACCUUUGUUUGACGGUAAUCAAUUAGAAAGUCACGGCUAACUACGUGCCAGCAGCCGCGGUAAU
rnacentral:rRNA from 1 species